rnacentral:rRNA from 1 species
AUUGAACGCUGGCGGAAUGCUUUACACAUGCAAGUCGAACGGUAGAGGGGGCAACCCCUUGAGAGUGGCGAACGGGUGAGUAAUAUAUCGGAACGUGCCCAGUCGUGGGGGAUAACGUAGCGAAAGUUACGCUAAUACCGCAUACGAUCUACGGAUGAAAGCGGGGGACUCGCAAGAGCCUCGCGCGAUUGGAGCGGCCGAUAUCAGAUUAGGUAGUUGGUGGGGUAAAGGCUCACCAAGCCAACGAUCUGUAGCUGGUCUGAGAGGACGACCAGCCACACUGGAACUGAGACACGGUCCAGACUCCUACGGGAGGCAGCAGUGGGGAAUUUUUGGACAAUGGACGCAAGUCUGAUCCAGCCAUUCCGCUGCAGGAUGAAGGCCCUCGGG